UACGAAGGGGGCUAGCGUUGUUCGGAAUCACUGGGCGUAAAGCGCACGUAGGCGGAUUGUUAAGUCGGGGGUGAAAUCCUGAGGCUCAACCUCAGAACUGCCUUCGAUGCUGGCAAUCUCGAGUCCGGAAGAGGUUGGUGGAACAGCUAGUGUAGAGGUGAAAUUCGUAGAUAUUAGCUAGAACACCAGUGGCGAAGGCGGCCAACUGGUCCGGUACUGACGCUGAGGCGCGAAAGCGUGGGGAGCAAACAGG
rnacentral:rRNA from 1 species